UAUUAACCUAUAUUACUUCAUCUCGACAAGUCCCUCUAAAGUUGAGUCAUCAUAUUUCGGUUUCCCAUUCAGAGUUGAAAACAACACUCCCAAUUCGUAGUUCUGUACCGAAUGCCAGGGUUUCUUGAAAGCUUUCGCCUUUUACAAGUUCACCUUCCUUAGGGCUUGGAGUUCACCUUAGAAGACUCAACUAAUAUUCUUUUAUCUCACAGUUUUUUUAAACUGUACAAGCUUUGGGUUUGUUGUAGGGGAGUUACUUGAACACGGGCGUCGAAGUACAGUCGGGCCCGUGAUAUAUUAUGAUCAGCGGUAUCGCUUCGCAAAACCACAGCUAUCCCAUCGUGUUAAUAAAGCAAUAUUCGCACAUGGCCGGCAGUCAUGGCUGCCUGCUACUGAAUGCGAUAAAUCAAUUUAGCUCGGUAAUUGACAGAAAGACCUCAUGGGAAUGUACCUCUUGGCCUUGCGUUUAGCGACAGUAUCAAAGGCAAACCGACCACUUUAACUGUGGUGUUUUCAUUUGUUCGCUCUAUAGUUUGCCAAGAAUCUGUGUGAGAGCAGGGAUUUAAACGUUGUUGACAUAACGGAAGAACGAGCAAACAUGACGAGGUUAAUCUUUGGCACAUGCUACAACGAUAUCCACCGGUGAAACGUCAAUAUUUGCAAAGUGUGCAAGGAUGACGAUGGAGAAGACUGGCUGGGUUGUGACGCCUGUGACCAGUACUUCCACUGCGGCUGUUUACCGGGCGACAAUUUCGCCGAGGCUGUAACCGGCGUUUCCUUCUGCCCUUGUAAAUAUUAUAUGUUACUCGCAAAGUAUUCCGCAGAUCUGCCAGAGAUUUCUAGUAUCCCCCAAUGGUCAACAGAGGUAGCGAGGGAUCAAUUUCCUCAGAUGUGAGAGAGAAACUAGAGAUAGCCGAAUUAGUCGGAGCAGUUUGGCAGUUUCACCGAGGAUGUGUAAUUAGAGGGACAAUAGGAGAGCCGGAAGCUAUAGACAAAGCUAGUAUGGGUAUUGUAUGGUCCUAUGACAGUAGGUUAGAUAGUGAUAGUGUCGUGUAACACGAGCAUUGUAUUUAGUUAGAGUUAGACUAGUGAAUAAAGGCAAGCCAUCAAGGCUAAAAAGUCCA